CAAUAGCGUAUAUUAAAGUUGUUGCGGUUAAAAAGCUCGUAGUUGGAUUUCUGCCGAGGACGACCGGUCCGCCCUCUGGGUGUGUAUCUGGUUUGGCCUGGGCAUCUUCUUGGAGAACGUAGCUGCACUUGACUGUGUGGUGCGGUGUCCAGGACUUUUACUUUGAGGAAAUUAGAGUGUUUCAAGCAGGCACACGCCUUGAAUACAUUAGCAUGGAAUAAUAAGAUAGGACCUCGGUUCUAUUUUGUUGGUUUCUAGAGCUGAGGUAAUGAUUAAUAGGGAUAGUUGGGGGCAUUCGUAUUUAACUGUCAGAGGUGAAAUUCUUGGAUUUACUGAAGACUAACUACUGCGAAAGCAUUUGCCAAGGAUGUUUUCAUUAA
rnacentral:rRNA from 1 species